rnacentral:tRNA from 1 species
UGCCAGAUAGCUCAGUUGGUAGAGCACCUGACCAGAGAUUCAGGAAGCCCUAGUUCUAAUCCCAGUCUGGUCU